GACUUUUGCAGGGCUGUGCCUCCUUUCCUCCCCAGACAAAAUCCAUCACGUCAGCAGUCACAGGGCACCCUGGUUCCCUCUCUGAAUGAACUGUUAAAUGACUAAGCUGGCUCCCAACAGAGGCAGAGCCCAGCAAUAUGCGGCCUGUAAUCUGUCAGAUGAUACAGCAACAGGCCCAGUGAGGGGCCCGACACACCCCCCAGGAGAGUGGAGUCUCUCACUGCAUGUGACGUGGAAGACGCCGAAGAGGUGAGGGAGGCACCAUAUGCUGCGGGCCUGCCAAGGGAGAAUAAACAGCACCGGCAGCCUGGCACAGAGCUCUGGCGGGAACGUCCACCAAGAUCGGUCAGGCACUCUCAUGGCGUCCUCCUGGAUACAGGCUUUUGCUUUUGUUUUUAAUUUUGGAGCAGUGAAGCCGAAAGUGAGGAGUGAGGACAAGGAGAAGACCCAUUUGCUCCUGUUCAUUCAAACAGCAUCUCUUCAUUUUGAAAUUGGCAAGAGGCAGUUCGGGGCUGUGGCAGGUCCUGUACACCACCUGUUGCCUCCCAAGUCACUGUGCCUUUCUGGCUUUCUUUACCUAUGUCCUGUAAAACGCCAGAUGAGGACAUAGAAAGAUGAACUUAAAGCUGAAAAGUGAACUUAAAGCUGGAAAAAAUGAAGCAAUCUCAGCUAUGAUAGCUGUAAUAGAAAAAUGGAGUUUUCCUCAGUUUUUCUUCCUCAGAAUAAAUGGGAUGAUCCUGAUGGCUGUUUAAGUGGAGAGGAUUUGUUUGCAAGAACUCUACAUCUUCAACAUUUUGUAGAGCAUUCCCUGCGAUGUGGAAAAUUCUGCUGGGCUAUUCCCUGAGGACACCUCUACCUUUCGUGUCCAGAAUUGGUGGGUUCUUGGUCUCACUGACUUCAAGAAUGAAGCCGCGGACCCUCGCAGCUCAAGCAUAUCUGAAUCGAGAAAAGCAGACAUGAUUGAAGCGCAUUUAUCUCCACUAAUUAAGAGGCUUAUGCCAGGCUGAGCUGAGAUUGUAACACCAGAUGAGCCUCCAUUUCAUCCCGCUACACCUGGAGAAGCUCCUGUGGGAGGAAGACUCAUGGAGACACUUUAAACUGGAAGCAAGAGACCCCAGGGAAGAGUGUUCUUAGGCAGAGGGAACAUAACAUGCUAACGUGCUAUGAGGGGGACCUCAGCUGAUUGGAUGAUGCCCACCAUAUUGGGGGAGGAUCUUCCUCACCCAGUCUACCAACUGCCAUGCCAAUUUCCUCCAGAAACACCCUCACAGACACACCUGAGU
rnacentral:lncRNA from 1 species